AUUGAACGCUGGCGGCAUGCUUUACACAUGCAAGUCGAGCGGCAGCGCGGGGGCAACCCUGGCGGCGAGCGGCGAACGGGUGAGUAAUGCAUCGGAACGUAUCCUGUAGUGGGGAAUAACUCACCGAAAGGUGAGCUAAUACCGCAUAAGCUCUGAGGAGGAAAGCGGGGGACCGAAAGGCCUCGCGCUGCAGGAGCGGCCGAUGUCCGAUUAGCUAGUUGGUGUGGUAAAAGGCUCACCAAGGCGACGAUCGGUAGCUGGUCUGAGAGGAUGAUCAGCCACACUGGGACUGAGACACGGCCCAGACUCCUACGGGAGCAGCAGUGGGAAUUUUGGACAAUGGGGGAAACCCUGAUCCAGCCAUGCCGCGUGAGUG
rnacentral:rRNA from 1 species